UCUUGCUCCAUAUAAGCCCCCAGCACGCAGUAAUAGUCGCUGGCACACAACAGAUGCUCAGAAAUAUUUGCUGAAGACAAAUUAAAUGGAAGUGAAUACUGGAGAGCCAUUGUGAUUCCUUGCAGGGAAUGAUGUGGUGAAGUCAGAAUUUCAGGAAUAUUAAUCUGUCAGCAUGAAAGAAGAUGGAUUUAAAAUGAAGAGAGCCACCCAUGGCUGCGAGUCAGGAGGGAGAUUGUUACUGUAAUUUGGACAUGGUUUAAGGUAGGGGCAGGAAAAUAAUUGGAGAUAUCAUGAAAGAAUGCGGAAGGGGCAUUGUGAUAAAUGAGCUCUGCAUGUGGGGAAUGGGAUACGGGUGCUGGGGGUGAGGGGCUUGAACAUGGACACCAACAGCCAAUUGGGAUAAAAGUGAAGUCCUGGGGAGAGGAAAAGAACCAUACUAAGACUCUGUGGGUAACAGACAAGAUCACUAGGCAAAACAAAAACUUCAAGCCCUGAUCUUCCUCCAAAACUCUCUGGUUUUCCUUACUUCACACCUGGCUAGAGAGACUUCCUAGCUCCGAAGAGUGAGGGAAAGACAGUCUGGUACCCCGCCCUGAGCUAGGCAUGGAGAUCAUGCAAGCGCAUCUUCCCCCUCCCUGAGGCCGAUACACUCACUUGUGUCAGUAGGGGCUCCAUGCAUUCUCGCCACCCAAAACCAUUUUGCAGGCUGGACCUUUGGGGAUUCCCUGCUUCGGCCCUGCGGAGGUUUAUAGGAAAGUCCCGGGACUCUCAUCUGCUUCCUCACAUUAAUUUCCAGGGCAGAACUGUGCUUUUCAAAGGAAUUCAGCUAUGGUGCCAACAAAAAUCUAUAGGAAUUGAGUAGGGCUACGUCUAAAUCACAUUUGAAAACUGUUUGCACCUUUGUACACAGAGACCCAAUCAAGAUUCUCUCAGGGCCAGCAACUGCAUCCCUUCAGUCUCUACCAGGUCAGAAACAUCAGUGAUGUCCAAGACAACACAGUGGCUCUAAAAGGUGGGAGAUCUUAGCUGAUGCCCAGAUGUCUCAGAUGCAAAGGAAGUUGGACUUGAAAAUUCCUUGAGUUCUGGCUAUUUUACUUACUCCAAAGUCUAACGGGCUUCAGCGCCACAGAUCCAAGACUUUAUUUAAUUCACCUACUGCCUGCAAAAGGGUGAGCCACUAUCUGGCAAGGGAUGCACUUUUUUAACAGCACAGAAAGCUUCAGGACUGCUUAAGAUCUCACUAGACCCAUAAUUCCACGUGCUAAGUGGGUACCUCGAAAUCCUCUUCCCAAGACACAGCUGAAGCUAUUUCUAAGAAAACUGAAACUCCACUUCCAGAUCUCUCCCACUUCAAGGGGUCUGGACUCUAACCUGCACACUGAGCCUGUGUCCUUUCCUAUGGCUGGCUGCAACUUGACCUGUAACAAGACUACACAACAGUCCAGAGACUAAUUUGUCUGCAGCCACAGUCUCUGAGGUCACGGGGUCAACAUAUUUAGAUGGACUGUCCGGGGACUGUUGAAGAUUCCCAUGAAGUGUCCCAGAGGCUUCAGACACACCUCAAGUUAUCUUGCUCUGCCCGUUCUAUUUCCAUCUCUCUCUCUCUUCCUCUCUCCUGCUCACAUCCUGUCAGCAGAGAUAGUGAAGUGGCCUUACCUGGCACAGCACAACUUUUGGAAUUCCAAGUAUUCGGAUUAUUUCUCUUUUCCCCACUUUCAGCCAGGAGGCAGCCUUCCAUCUGAAGUUGCCCCUUGCUAAGAGAGGCAGCCCUGAAAGGAAUCAGGAUGGAACGGGAUGAGCAAAGUGACCCAAGCAAGAGAGGAGAGAAGGGAAAGGUCUAUUCUAGAAAGGAAGCCACCUGUGAAGGGCCAGAGGGAGUCAGAGGCAGCUUGGUGUGUCCAGGGCUCAGAGUGCCAAGAAAGAAAAAAUGAGUGAUGUGAGGCAGGGGAUUAGCUGGGAUGACCGAGAAGCACUUGCCAGGUGGAUAAACACUAGAUAACCACAAAGGCCUUGUUGUAGCGAAAGCAAUAGAAGCUAAAGACUACGGCAGGGGAGACCUUGCUGUCCUGGAUGAUGAAUUAGGGAGAGGCCCAGUGAAGAAGCGGGAACAGCUUGAAGUGGUAGCUGCCAAUCAGCAAACAGAAAUGUAUAUGGUUUUAAAUGAUGGAGAAAAUUGUUCUGUGCUAGCCCAUUCCAUGUCAGGGAUGUUCAUGAGCACUUCUGGGAGUUGUAUCCUCUCCUCACAAAUAAAAGGAAUCCCAGUGGGGGUGGCCCCUU